CUCCUGACUUUCAUCUCAUGUCAACUUUUUUCCUCUCAGUUCUGACUUUUAUAAUUAUUUAUUAUAAUUAAUUGUGAUCCACCGUCGGGACGUGUUCCCAUUGCUUCAUGUGUGUUUUGUGACAGGGAGGUGUUUUUAUUUUUGGGUAUAAAUUCUGACUUAAUAUCGAACUGGUGUCAACAAGGAGCCGAAAGACGCCAGUUUGCCUUCCGUUUUCCUACGCGAACCCACCUCGUCACAGCAGUGCAUCCUGGCCAUGCCCUCCGACAGGCGGAUCAUGCUCUCCAGCUGCCUCACCGUUAUCCUCCAGGCUGACUUUGUCACCCCCCCGGAGCCGUCACGCUGGCGGAGACGCUUGUACUGCUCGACGAUGAACUCCUCGGAUUCGCUGGAAAUCUGUGGAACGUAGUGGCGAUUUAACGCCAUCAAAACAAAAACCAAAAAACACUCGGAAAAUGUGUCUGGCGUCGGCGCACCUUUGGUUUGAACUGCCUGGCAAACAGCAGGUACCUCCGGAUUUCAUCCAAAGAGUACAGCCGGUCCACCGAUUCCUCCACACGCGAGUGCAGGUCGACGAUGCGUCUGGCGAUGGCGUAGUCCGUCACCUGCCGGACCGGAAUGCCACAUGACCGACCGGUCGCGUGAAACGAGGCGAGCGUCCGCUUACCUCGUUGCAGUCGUCCACCAGGAUGAAGAAGAGGUCGAAGCGGCUCAUGAUGGGCGCGGUCAGGUUGACGUUCUGCUUCAGACUCUUGCUGCGGUCGUAGCGCCCGCUGACGGGGUUGGCGGCGGCAAGGAUGGAUGUGCGGGCGUUCAGGGUGGCCUGGAGGAGAUGAAGGCGCGCUCUCGGGUUUGCUCUCGUAUAAAAAGGGGAGGGAAAUGUGUGGUUAGGAUUUCAAAUCUGCGCCGUUACCUUAACUCCGGCCUUGGUGAUGCUGAUAGUCUGCUGUUCCAUGGCCUCGUGGAUGGCCACCUGGUCUUUCAGGUCCAUCUUGUCAAACUCAUCGAUGCAGCACACACCCUGAAGACAAAGACCUCAUUUGACACGAGACAUACAGCGGAGGACAUCAGAAAUAUAAUAAAUGGCGCAGUUUUAUUAAUAAAAAGGGAGAUGCUCACAUUAUCAGCCAGCAUCAAAGCGCCAGCCUCAAUUACAAACUCGUGGGAUUCUUCAUCUCGGACCACAGCGGCCGUCAGACCAGCAGCACUGCUCGCUUUGCCGCUGGUGUAAACCGCCCUGGGGCUGAACUCCUCCACAUGCCUGCACGCCAAACACACACCGGCAGGGCCUAGGGACCACAGCAGGACCCGCUGCUCGAUGAGAAGAGCCAUGCAUGCUUUCAUAGCGGCUGCGUGUGCGGCGUGUUAAGGAGUGGAGCGCUGUACAACACUGAAGAUACCCACUUGAGGAACUGACUCUUGGCGGUGCUGGGGUCUCCCACGAUGCAGACGUUGAUGUCUCCUCUCAGCGAGGUUCCCUCCAUGGUGGUCUUGGGAACGCCUCCGAACAGCAUCAGAAGGAUGCCGCGCUUCACCUCGUCGUUGCCUGCGCAAUCCCAAGCGGCGACACCGUUCAAGCAAAGUGUCUUUGGCCAAGGCUGGCUGGAGGAGGACGGCGGCACUGACCGUGGAUGGUGGGGAAGAGGCUGGUGCACAGGUUGUGGUACAGGUUCUUGUCUUGGCUCAUCUCAAACACCUUCUCCCACUCGCGCUCCGUCAUCUGGCUCUUGAUGCUCUCGGCCGUCUGCUCCUCCUCUCGCAGCUCCUUGCCGCCAAACUACAAAGACAGAAAUAGCCAAAAAUGGUGUUUUAAACAAUAAAAAAAGAAAAUAAGUAAACGAAUGAAACCAUUAAAAUGAACGAUUAAUUAUUAGGAACUACCAUAAGAAUAAAAACUUAUUCACAAGUCAUCGUAAAUUCUUCGUUUACGAUCGGUCAUGGUUUCAACAAACAUUACCUUAAAAGACUGAAGUAUCAAAAGUAUCGAUACUUAGCGCAUGAAGACCUGGUAUCUGUAGUAUAGCAAUUUCAGUAUCGACCCACACACCACUACUGCCUGCAGGCAAUUUAUUUCUGUGUGAACAAAUCAGUGGUUUAGCUCGCUCCAGUGCUGGCAUUGCAAUUGUUUGUAUCUAGUCCUAUUUGGAUUGCAUUGUAAACUAGAAAAGCACUUGGACAGCACAGACCUCCGCCAAGUGCCAUAGUUGUGAUUUACACCAUAAAUGUUAGUCCUACAUUUAUUUUAUCUACAUAUUUAAUUCCAUGAAAACAUACCAUGGAAGGGUCUGAAUGACUUGCUAACGUUAGCAUGCUAACACCUAGCAUAAUAGCUAGUGUUUAUACAAGUCCCUACCGCUGAAAAUGCAAAAAAUGUUAGUAUAAUGAAUAAUUAUGUUAGCAUGCCCACAUUAGCAUACAAACACCUAACAUGAUAGCGCUAAGUGCCUGCUUAAGUUUAUAUUCAUUCAUUCAAAAAUGCUAGAAUGGUCAUAUUAGCACGCUAUCACCUAGCAUAGUGUCUACCUAUGAGAAUGGCUGAAAAUGCUACUAUGCUAAUGUUAACACCUAGCGUUAUAAUGCUGAGUGUAUAUAAAGAGUCUACCCAUGAAAAACGUUAAAAAUGCUACCCUGUUAAUGUUAGUAUGUUAACACAUAGAUGAUGGUGGUAAGCAUUUAUAUAAGUGUCUACCCUUGAAAAUAGCAAAAAAAAAUGCUAGUAUGCUAGCACUGAAUAAUUUCACAGCUGAACCCGCUUGGACUUUUACCCUGUAAAAAGGGCUGGUCCAAACACAUCUGAUCACAUGACACUCAACCAUUAGGUUCCGUUGUGCAGUCUUUCUUUCUUUCUUACCCGCGGGUUUGUGGGAGCGACGUUACAGGCCAGAAAAGCCAGUCUGUAUGACAACUCUCGGACCCCCAGAGCUUUCAAUCCCCUCAGACCUUCAGACUCGAAGCCCUGAGGUCCACCCACCCUGGUACUGGUCUCUGCUCGCAGACCUGCAGAAGGAACAGAGUGGAUGCAAACAAAAUAAAAUUAAAACUCUUAAGAAAAACAGUCCAAUGUGUGUCAAAUAAUACCAGGAGUGCUGAGCUGAGAGACAUCCGGCACCACAACAAGCGUCCCGGUGAAGUCACAUCGGUCGCCGGCUUGAGCCGUCUCCACCGCCUCGGCUCUCAGAACGAUCUCCAGGGAGCGUGGGAUGGAACCACGAGGUAGCUCCGCCUGCGUCUCCUGGAUGCGCACCUGAACACACACACGCACACAAAAGCGCCACCGCAUCAUCCCCGCAUUCUCCAAUCACACACAUCACGAAGUUACCUUCUGGAAGUCAAUGAACUUAGACUUGUGCGUGUCGAGGUGGAAGCGUGAGCGGUUGUUGCACACGGGGUUGCGGCAGAUGGUCGGCGGGGAGUACUUGAACUGCUGAGGGACGUCUUUUAUCACCGCCUGACAGUCCAUGCACAGGAAGGUGCCGCUCACCUGCAAGCAAGCGCAGCACCGUCGUCACCCCGAGCUCAUGCCUGUUCAUCGCGCAAUACGGACGCCGCGCCUCACCAGUUCGGGGUGGACCGGGUGCGUCCUCACCACCUGACCGCUGAUCCUCACCAGGGUGCCGAUGCGCAUGGACGACAACUCGCGGAUCCUGAAACGUCAUCGCGUCGUUGGGUUAAUCGAUAAACGCAAACAUUUUCACAAACCCUUACUUGUGUCUGGCGGGCAGAUCUUCCAGGGCCACGUAGAAUUCUUUAGUGAGCGGAACGUUCCCGUGAUCCCUUGCAAAGUUGCGAACAGCCCGACAGAGGAAGGGAUACACUCUGGAAACAGGAAGCGGCGUUAAUUUUAUAAACCUAAACACCCGAUCUUUUACGUUUUUUUGCACGAUAGGCAAAAAGCGGUGAUGACGCAACUCCCCACUAAUGUGUUUCACUUCAGAGCAAUUUUAAGCCAUGAAAACGGCCACAAGGUGGCAGAAGUGCAUUUGAUAAGAGAUUGUGUGUACACGAAGAAAAACAAACAAACACACACGACAGGAAGGAGGAAGUGGGAGAGCGUGGAGGAGUGUAGCGUGCAGAAGGUUACGCACUGUAGGGAAAUUUUAACGCAUGCACACUCGCGCACGCGUGCACACACAUAGUUCAGUUCCGAAUGUGAAAAUUGUAGU